rnacentral:rRNA from 1 species
GAUGAACGCUGGCGGCGUGCCUAAUACAUGCGAGUCGAGCGAACGGACGAGAAGCUUGCUUCUCUGAUGUUAGCGGCGGACGGGUGAGUAACACGUGGAUAACCUACCUAUAAGACUGGGAUAACUUCGGGAAACCGGAGCUAAUACCGGAUAAUAUUUUGAACCGCAUGGUUCAAAAGUGAAAGACGGUCUUGCUGUCACUUAAAGAUGGAUCCGCGCUGCAUUAGCUAGUUGGUAAGGUAACGGCUUACCAAGGCAACGAUGCAUAGCCGACCUGAGAGGGUGAUCGGCCACACUGGAACUGAGACACGGUCCAGACUCCUACGGGAGGCAGCAGUAGGGAAUCUUCCGCAAUGGGCGAAAGCCUGACGGAGCAACGCCGCGUGAGUGAUGAAGGUCUUCGGAUCGUAAAACUCUGUUAUUAGGGAAGAACAUAUGUGUAAGUAACUGUGCACAUCUUGACGGUACCUAAUCAGAAAGCCACGGCUAACUACGUG